rnacentral:misc_RNA from 1 species
UUUUGACACAGGUGACGGGAGAGAGAGAGAAAUUGCCAUGCAAAUUAAUCUUUGUAUUGCCCUGUUUCUCUCUUUCUUUAUCAGAGGAAAGAUCCACUUCUGUAUAAUACCUCUCAAAUCGUCCGCACACACCAUUCUUCGACUUAAUCACUAUACAGUAUAAACCAACCCAACUUCGAUUUCAUCCAGUGUCUUUCCCUCUUUUUGCCAUUUUGGGUGUCCAGGUUUUAGGCUUCUGAGUGUAAUCUUGAAGAAGAAACAGGAGAGAGAGAGAG